GGCAGGAGGUGGUGGAGCCGGCGGUUGGCAUCGCUGGAGGCAGAGGGGACCAGGAGCGGGAGAAGCCGGGGCCGGAAAGGCAAACAAAGACUGGACUUACUCAUUGAGUGCAAAACACACAACAAAGGCUGAAGGCACUUCAAGCACUCGUGGUCCAAAGAUCGGGCAGAAAAAUUCAGAUGCAUCCUCACAAAAAUUAUGGCAGCAGCAAGUAAGAAGGUAAUGAUCCUGAGAAUCAGCACCCAAGACCAGUGGUCAGUCCAGCAGGAAAGAGAUAAAGGUGGCAUGGGACAAGCGCCACCCUCACCUCUGGGGACCAUCCCCCAGACACCAAGCAGGAAGACGAAGCUCAGGUCACAUUCAUCAUGGCUGAACUCCAGGUCACCUGUGGUGCAGAGAAAGUGGCUGGCUCAGAUGUCCAGGCCUGUGCGACCCAUCAUGGUUUCUGUAUGUGUUUUUCUAGCAAGACAAAUGCCGGGAACUGAUUGGCUUGUGUUUUAUCUCGCAUUGCCUUGGGAAAUGAGCCUACUGUGUGGUCUAAGAUACAGGAAAAGAAAUGAUGGGGUUCAGCGAGUGCAGCUAGAGCUGGAGCCGGAAGCCGGGCAGCACCAUAUGCUGGGCUUUCACCAGAUAAUCAACUCCCAAUCCCUUCUGGGGCACCGUUUGAUGAAUAUGAAAUGCUUGGAUUUUUUCCUAAGCUAACAAAGGUUGGUGGGACUUUUCAAAUCUCCCAAGUCAAGGGAUAAAAUGGUGAAAUAAAGGCAUCAUACAAAUAA
ensembl:lncRNA novel transcript